AGAGUUCAUUCUCAGCAAUAUAUGUGAAACUAAUUAGGAAUCAAACUGUCUUCAAUAGUUAGAUGGAGGUGGAGGUAUGAAAGGAAUGGAAGGCAAGCUGCUGCUGGGAAGUGGUGGAAGAAUAGUGAUAAGCUUAGGCUAAGAUGGUGGGAUUGUUGGUAGCUUUGGGAUUCAAGGCAAUAUAGGAGGAAGUGGUGGAAUUGGUACGCUGGGAAGUGGUGGAAGAAUGGGGGUAGGGUUAGGAAGUGGUGGAAUUGGUACUGGUACUCUAGGAAGUGGUGGAAGACUGGGGGUAAGGUUAGGAAGUGGUGGAAUUGGUAAUCUGGGAAGUGGUGGAAUUGGGAAUCCAGGAAGUGGUGGAAGAAUGGGGGGAAGUGGUGGAAUUGGUGGAAUUGGUGGAAUUGGUGGAAUAGUUACUUGCUGAAGAUUUCGAGCUGCUAGGCUAACCUCCAUGCUUGAAAAACCCAACAAAAUGAAACAAGCUAAUAAAAUGAAAACGUUGGAACCUGCCAUUUUUUUUGGAGAGAUGAACUAAAGAUUGAAGAUUUGAGUUGAGGUUUGCAUUGAGGAAAGCAGGAUUGCUUUUCAGGUAUUUAUAGCCACAUUUGAAAGACUUAAUUAAUUAUUUGUUUGAGAUAUUAUUCCCCUACUUAGCAUACUACCUUUUCUCACCCAUCUGUCAUCACCAACAAAAAGAAGAAGAAGAUAAAUUAGACUCAUCCUUAAACUUAAAAAUAUUCUGAAUGAGUCGAUUUGUCUAAUGUUAGUUAAAAAUUAAAUGCUUUUAAAUUUUGUGUGAACUAUAUCUUUCUAUUUCCAUUUACCUAAUGCCAGUUAAAAAAUAAAUAUUUUUUUAUAUAAUGAGUGUAUAUUUGACUUACGUAUGUGGCGCUCUAUUAAAAAAAAAAUUAAAUUAGGUGGAUCAAAUUUAAAUAUUAGAUAACUAUACAUGUUGGUACUUAAACUUGGUAUUUAAGAUUUUUUGUUGUCCAAUUAAAGGUUGAAUUUAAAUUAGAUAGUUGAACUUGAUUUCUUAGUUCAAAUUCCAAGCUUAGAUACCAAAAUGUUUGGUAUAAUAUUAAAUUAAAAAAAUUCAAGAUGUAAAAUACUAAUUUAACAUUUAAACUAGUUGCCCCAUACAGCUACAAUGGUAAUGAUAGAAGAAAAGUAAUUGAAUGGGAUUAGGAGAUGAAGAUCCUAGUAAAGCCACCUCUAGAGGUAUGAGAGUUGCGACCACUCUAUAAUUGAAUGCUACAAAAAUGGUUAUAUCUAGGAAUCUUUCGCCAUUAGCUAAUAAUGGAAAUAGCUAUGUAUCACUUAAAAAACAACAAUUCAUAUUUUCUUGAAAUAUAUUCAAAAAAUUGAAAAAUAUAAAAAAUAUCAUUUUUCUAAAAAUCCAAAAAUUUUAUGUGAAUAUCAACAAAUUCAGAAACUAAAAGAUAUGGAAAGCUUUAAAGUUUUUCCAAAAAGAUAGAAAUUUGCAGAAAAUUAGGUAUUUAAGAUUCCAAUAUUUUUAUUUCCCUUCUUUCCUGAUUGGAGAAAAUAUGAAUUAGGUGACGCCAUCGUUAACAAUUGGGGCAAGGUAAGACACGGUUGGAAACUUCAAGUAGGUGUAAUUUUGGGGAAAUAUUACAUUGUUUAAUAAUGAAUAUUGACAUGAUUUACCCUGAGUUAAAUCAAUUAUAUUUUACUUAUAUUUUCUAUACAAAUUUUAUACAAGCCUAAAUUAAUCAUAUUCAAUCAUAUCAAUCUCAAUAUUUUGAAUAAGAUAAUAAUAUUUUCUUAAAACUAUAACUAUAUAAAGUAUUGUAAAAAUAAUUAUUCAAUUAUACAGCUAUUUUAUUUGUAUAAUUAUAAUUAACAUAACCUUCUCCAUCAUAUAAUUAAAAUUUGUUCAACUUAUAAUUACAACAACUUUCCGUGAAGAAAAGAGAGAGACACAAAUACAAACUAAUGAGAUUAAAUAAAUCUCAAAUAUAAAAUAUUCUUCAAUAAACAUCAUUAAUCAAUCUCAAAAGAAACAAGAAAAGAAAUUCAUAAAUUAAACAAUAAGAAUAUAAUAUAACAAUCCAUUAUUUAAUAAAUUCAAAAAAAAAAAUCACAUUUAUAUUUUAAAUUUUAUUGGUCUAAUUUUAGAUAGGUUUAUAAACUUCAAAUGAUUUAAAAUAUUAGUGUCACGCCCCUAAAUAUAGGAAGGUUCAUUGAAAUGAAUAAAUAAGAAAUGUGUUGACACCAUUUUUUUGAUGAAAACGGGGUUGACUUGGAUUUUGAAAAUGAAAAUUAAAAUGACAGUCGCCACCAAUCCUUUUUGAUAAGGUGUGAUCGGAUCACCUUGAAAAGUGGUUGUUUUUAAUAAACGAUUUAAUUUUAUUAAAACAACGAGUUUGGUCCACGAAAUUCAGAAAAAUGGGUUCGGGAGUCGGUUACGUACGAGGAAGGAUUAGCGCCCUCGUGACGCCCAAAAAUUGGUACCUAGUUGAUUAGUUAAUGUCUUAAUGUCAAAAAUUGUAAACUUUGAAGAAUUUUAAAAAUACGAUCCUUAAUUUUUUUAAAAAGAAAACUUAUAUAAAUCAAGUUACUCGUUAAGACCCUCCCAUUUCAGAAAGAGAAAACGUCACGCCCAAUGCGUUAGGGCACGAUAUUUUACCUCUUCAGAAAUGAGCUUGUCUAAAAACUUACACAAUAAAAUUUUAAAGGGCAUUCAAUUGUUUAAGUCAUGUGAAAAAUUGCAACCCAAUACAUUAGGGCACAAUUUCUCAAAAUAUUAAACAUUGAAUAUUGCAUUUAUUUUGAAAAAUCCUCAUAUCCAAUGCGUUACGGCACAACGUACUGAAUUCUCGAUAAUGAGCUAUUUAUUUAUGUUUUUGUUUUAAAGAGCACCCUCGAUUAUUUAGAUCCAACGAAGAAAAUUGGAACCAAUACGUUAGGGUUCAAUUCUCUCGAAGAUCCCAAAUACCGAGUAUUACUUUUAUUUUGAAAUUUUCCGUUUUUGAUAAAUCCGAGUAAAAAUGGAUGCAAAAUAAUGAUAAUGAUGAUAAUGUAAGUAAAAUAACACGAGCAAAACAAAAUAUAAAUAAAUAAUAAGACUAAUAUAAAUACAAUCGUGCAGGCGCAAUAACAAAUAAGAAACAGAUAAAAACUAAAGCAAGAAAAAUAAUAAUAACAUACAUGUAAAUAAAUAACUGAACAAAAUUAACAAAAUUAAAAAAAAUAUAAAAGAUAUAUUUAUACAUAUAUAUGUAUAAAAUUAUGAAAAUAUUAAAAACAUAUGCAUGUACACAUUUUUGAAGCUAUUAUACAUGAAAAUAUAUGUAAGUAUAUAUGCACAUACAUGAAUACGUAUAGAACCAUCAUCAAAUAUAUAAAAGUAUAUAUAUAUAUAUGUAGGUAUAUAUGAAUCACAAAAUUUAAAGAAUAAUAUAUAUAAGAUAUAUAUUUUGGAAGUAUAAAGAAUAUGUAAGAAUUUAUAUAUACAUACAUUUAUAUAUGAAAAUGAAAUAUAUAGAUAUGUAUGUGGGUAUGUAUAAAUAUUAUAAAAUAUAAAAACAUAUAUGUGUACGCAUAUAUAUAAAAAUAUACAUAUGUAUAUAUACAUAUAUAUUAUGAAAAUAAAGCUAAAAAAAAACUAGUUAGUGUAUUAACAUAAUUGUAACGACUAAAUAAAGGAAAAUAAUAAUAAUAAUAAUAAUAAUAAUAAUAAUAACAUUAAAAUAAUUAACUAAAUAAUAAAAAUUGCUAAAAAAAGAUUAAAUCGAAAUAAAAACGAAAAUACUGGGCAAAUUCGAAAUAAAAAAAACGAAAAGGAUUAAAUUGCUACACGCAUCGAAAGAGGGAGACCAAAACGAUAAAUAAACCAAAGCCCCAAAACGCAGCGCUGCAACGGACUAAAAUGAAACAAAAGGAAAACUAUGUGGCUAAAUUAAAAUAAAAGAAAAUAAUGAAAAAGGGCCAAAUUGCAACUCGUUGCAAAGUCGGAGUGACUACGCGCGCAAAUAUCCCCUUUUAAGAAAACACGCGGAUCCUCCCCCAGGGUCGGGUCACCGAGCGGGUCAGGGCCAAAAUGGCGUCGUUUUGGCACCUGACCCUAAUGACAAAACGGCGCCAUUUCGUUUAGGGUAUUUAAACCUAAUUUUUCCCAAAAAACCUAAUUUCAGCCACCAUUUAAAAAAAAUAAAAAACUUUCUUUUUCUUUCAAAAAUCUGACUUUUGGGGUAAAAUUUUUUACUUUCUCUUGAUAUUUUGCGCGAAUAUGAAUUGUUUUUUUUUAAAAAAAUAUGUAUAAAAAUAAAAAUGAACGGGUAUAAAAAAGAAAAGAGAUGCGAAACUAAAAUCACAUUGGAGUGAAUCUGUUUGUUUUUUUUAAAUCUGUUUUUGUAUUAUUUAAAAGUGUUCUUACAAAAAAUCUAAAAAGGAACCCCCUAAAUUACAGAAAAAUUUGGCUUUUAUAGCCGAUUCUCCCCCCUCAUUCUUUGCUCUGUUGCUUUUCUAUUGCUUGCAGGGACUUGACGCGGUGCAUGUGGGGUGUCGGUGGCAAGUGGGGUGAUGGAACAUCCGACGGUGGCCGUGGCUGCUGGUGAUGCGACUGGUGUGCGGCGGCCAAGAGCUAGGGUUUCAGAAAAGCUGAAACCCUAGUUUGACUGUUGGGGUUGGGAUUUUGGGCCAAUUGGGUUAUUGGGCCUCGAGUUUGGGUUUGUAAUUGGGUUAAUUUAUUUUUUUUGGGUUUUAUGUUUGGGUUUAUUGAAUAUUGGGCUGAGGGUUAGUGGGUUAGGCCUAGGUGGGUUGGUUUGGGUUUUGGGCCCCGGGCUAAAAUUGGGCUUGUACAAAAUGAAUUAGGUUUAAUGGCUAAGUGUUAAAGAAUUCACCUUAGAGACUUAAGUUCGAGUUCCCUUCCUUCCUUUUUAUUUUUGGUAACUUGGUUUUAGGGUAAAGUCACACUCAAAAUAUAUACGACUAGGAAUUAAGAAUAAAUAAGAAAUGGGCAAUAGGUCCAAUGGUUAAGUGUUAAUCCCCUAUCUUAGAGAUCUUAGGUGUAAGUUUCCUUUUUCCCCUCCCAUUUUUCUUUUGGAUUUCGACAAUAAGGGGAAAUUUGCUGUGCCACCCCUAGGGUUUUCAAACCCGAGCUAUUUAAUCAUUCUUUUCCCAUUUGGAUUAGUUUUGCUUCUUUUCAAAUUCUUGUAAAAUUUCUACUCAUAUUAUAUUUCUCUUAUAUUUAUUUUCUUUUCCUUUCUUUUCAUUGUAACACCCUAAACUCGGUCGAAUAGGUUCGACCUAAAUUUGGAGAGCUACAUUAGCCACCGAAGUGACUUUCCAUUAACUCCCAAUCUAACCUCUAACACACCACUUACUUGCAACGUAUAUUAUGAUAAGUUAUAUCAUAACAAGGGUAUAAUAUAAUACAUAUAAUGUAAAUCAUGCAAGCUUAAAACCAAUGUAACACCCCAAACCCGGCUGAGUAGGUUCGACCCAAAUUUGGCGAGUUACAUUAGCCACCGAAGUGACUCUCCAUCAAUUCCCAACCUAACCUCCAACACACCACUUACUUGCAAUGUAUGUUAUGAUAAGUUAUAGCAUAACAGUGAAAUAAUAUCACAUAUAGAAUGUAAAUCAUGCAACCUUAUCAAACAAAAUGAGGGAACGGUUCGCAUGUUAAUUACUACGUAAGGCUACGUAGUAAGGUUAUCGCACCUAAGGGUUCACAAGCAUAUAGGGGGUCACAAACAAACAAAGGUCGCAGAAAAUAACACUUCGCAAAAAAAAUUGGCUCGCGUAUGAUGUUAAUACAUAUUUUGGAAAAAUUGAAAGAAUGCGACAUGGUACUCAUGCUAGGAGAAUUAAAGAAACAUCAAAGUAUAUUCAUGCAGAGAAGAAAUUAGUAAUAAAGGUUUAACUUCAUGGUUCGCAAAAUAUUAAAAGAAUAAACUUAAACUUUAGGGAAAUCGUUUCAUUAACAGAAUCAUAUAAUGAUAAAUCUAAACCUAUAUAAAUAAAACCCCAUCACCUAUUUCCCUAGGUUCGCAUUAUUUGUUCAGAGAUAGCCUCGCUAUUGCCAUUGGCGACUUACUUACCUGCAAAGUAAGAGAAGAGUGGGUGAGUUCAUUGCGAACUCGGUGAAUAAUCCGGAAUCAUCAACGUAUGAUUAAAAUACAGAGUUUAAAAUAGAAAGAAGACUUAGUAUGAAAAACUAUUGUAUCGCGUGUUGGGUUCGCAGUGAAUGCUAGGUUCGCAGUGAAUGUGCGAGACCCAGUUUAUAGAACCUGCUUGUCAUAAAAUCAUAUAAGUUUGAAAAUAGUUUUGCAUGUACUUACUGAAAAUCAUACUUAAAAACUUAGCUUGUUCUUGUUUGAAAAUGGAUCUUUUAUAGAAUGAAACAUGCUCACAUACUUAUCUUAUCGGAAUGGCUGAGGAAUAUAAAAUAUGUUCUUGCACUUUUCUUAACUUACUUAUAUUAUCUUGUCUUAUUUUGUUGGAUAUGUGGAUCUCUUUAUAACGCCUCAGAAUGACUCAAAGAGUCCUUAAGAUGUCCCAUAAGUGUAACAUAAGCUAAACACUCUCUUGUACACCAACAUGUCCUAUUGAAUGGAGCAUAGCUUGGCGUUCCCUUAUCUCUCCACAUGUCCCAAAGCCUCAAUGCCCAAAUCACAAAACUUAUUGGUGAGUACUCACAAUCCUUUGGUAUACAAAUAUAUCCAAUAUAUAAGCUCACAAAGGCACUCGUAUAGAAACUUAGCACAUAGAGCUAGAAAAAACAUAGCUUAUAGAACUGUAUUUUUAAAACAUGCUUUAAAACAUAGGCUUGCAUAGGAGCAUGCGUAACACAUAUCUUUAAAACAUAGCUUAAAACAUAUCUUGAAAACAAAUUAUCAGAACUUUUAAAAACAUAGUUUUAUAGGAAAAAAAACUUACUCUUGGAACUUAGUUUUUAAAAAAAAAAGAUUCUUAGAAAACAUAACAGUUCACACACAAGUUACGAAACCUGAGCAUUCAUACUAAAAAACAUGAUAGUUACCACACUUAUGGCAAUUCUUAACCACUCAUCGAUAAAACUGAAAAUUUAAAUGAGUUUUGCCUUGCCUUUAUCCUUGCUGUAGAUAGUCUGGUUGGUUCGUAACAUGCAUAAACACACAAAUUACUUCAAUAGACAAAACUUACGAACUUCACACAUGCAAGCGAACCUAGCUUUCUGGACAAUAAACCCUAAUAGGAAAAAUGCUUACCUUGGUUGCUACGAAUUUGGUUCAGAACAAAGACUUGACAACAAAAUAACGAUGAAAGAAUUUUUCCUAGAAUAAGGAUUGUAUUUAUAGGCACUAAGUAUCUUAGUGACCUUAGGAUACCCUAUUUGACUUAGGAACCCUCUACGGUUUAAAAGAAGGUUACGUGCACGAAAAGUAUCCUAGAUACACAAUAUAUUUAUUUCCUAAGUUUAGUCUAACUUGACUUUUGAUUGGCGAACCCCUAGUUUGUAACUCAAUUGUUGAACCCCAGCUCACUAAACAGAUUGGAGAACACAACUUUCAAUGAAUCUAGCGAACCUCUUACCACAUCAUUUGGCGUGCAGCAGUUUGCUAGAACACUGGCAAACUCCUUACUGGUAUCCCCUUUGGUGAACCCUAGUUUGCUGAAACACUAGUGAACCCUCACUUGUAAGGUCAAAACUUCUAGAUCAGGUUUCAGGAUGUUACAAACACCAUAUUUUUAUCAUAAUUGUUGUUGAUUAUUUUUCUUUCCUGAAUCAAAUCAUCUUUCAUUAAAUUAUUUUUCUAUUAGUUUUGUAAUUGUCGUCAAUAGCACCUCUAUAUUUGCCAAGAAACAAACCGAAUUUAGGUGAAUCAGACCGAAAUAAAGUGUGAAGAACAUCAACCGGAACUGUGGUGAAAGGUGUGUGUCUUUUCCAAGUGAAUCAGUGGUGAUCUGUGUACGAUUAAGGCCACAUGGGCUAUGCGUGUGGUCCACCAACUACCACACAACCAUGUGCACUUGUAGAUUUUAGGGACUUCAUGAACCAUACGGCCUCAGCCAGUUACACGAUCGUGUCUUUCCUGCAAGGUUUAUCAUUUUCCACAUGGAAUCAUGCUGUUACAUGACCGUCUAACCCUUACACAGGGUCUUACCCUUCUCACAUGGCCUGGCCAUACAGCCGUGUGACCCUGUUUUACAGUUUUGACCAAAAAUUUAUCAUAUGUUCAAUUUAGUCCUCGUUUAUCCCUUGAAUUAUUUUAGAGUUUUCAUUCACUCAAUUAAGUCCUUGAUAUUGUGUUUAUUCUAGAAUCUGUGAUUUAAUGACUAAAUUCCUAUUUUUAUAUUGUAUGAGAUGUGAAUAUUACAUGCCUACUGUCAUUGUAAUACUGAUAAACUAUUAAUGAUAAUAUUGUUACCACCCUAUUGAGUACAUGUUAAGCAUGUCUACUGCUAAUGUUGAACUGAAUACAUGAUAAGCAUGUCUAUUAUUAUUAUUUUUUGUAUUGUUCUAUUACAAAGCAUGCCAUAUUGCAUUGCAUGGGGUGGGACGAUAUGUAUGGAGAAAGGGUGACAGUUUAAUAAUCUGCAACCCAGUGGUGGCUCGUCCACAAACCCAAUGGCAGUUUAUCUGCAAAUGUUUUAACUAAAAAUACUGGUUGUUUAUCCGCAAUUUUUACAACGAAGUGGUAGUUUAUAUACAAAUCAGUGGUGAUUUAUCCACAACUCGGUGUGUAUGGAUGGAUGAGUUCUGGGGAACUCAUAGUGUGGUGUGUAGUGAAGUUGGGUAGGACCUUUUCUGAUAAACUGAAAUUGCAUUGCCAUUCAUAAACAUGUGCAUACAAACCAUGAAUUCUAAAUAUUAUAGUGAAGUGUUGAAUUGGAAAACCGAUAUUGUGAAUUGCUAUACGAUUGUGGUUAUUCUAAGAAUUGUUAUUUCGUAUGCUUUGACCACUAUGUUACACCGAUUUUCUUGUGAUAUGACUCACAUUGAGCUUAAGUUCACCCCCUUUUAAUUUCCAUCUUUAUAGAUAACCCACCAGGUUAGGACAUAGACACAACAUCUGGAAGGUCUUGGCUCAGAUAAAUUUUUUUAUUAAAAGUAUUUUAGACUUAUUAUUAUUUCUAUUAUUUGGAAUUGUAUUGUUUUAUUCAAACUUUGGCACGAGACUUAAGUUUUGAGUUUAUUUGACAUGCAUGAAAUUUAAUUUGAAUAUUAGGAUAUUGAAACAUGGAUUUUAAACUAAUUAUGCAUGAAAUUUUGGUUUCGCCAUCAUUAAAAAUAUUUUGAAUAUCAUUUUUCCGCUACGAUAUUAUGAAAAUAAGAAUUUGAAAAAAGUAAAUGAAUUGGAAAUCAACUUUUACUAAGUAAACUUUAAAAUCCAUUGUUUUUUGGAAACUUUUAUUUUUUAGUGAAAACAUGAUUACACGCAAAGUUUUUCUUCAAUAAUAAGCAAAUGUUUUAAACAACUGUUUUAUAAAAACUCCGAUAGUUGUAGUAGGCCAUUUCGGUAGCCAAUGCAAUCUUUUGAAUUCAGUCUUAACGUUUAGGCCGAGUUGAGGAAGUUACUAUUAGCAACUUAACAUUAAUUUGAACAUUAAAUGUUGGUCCAAACUUGACACGAAAUAUAUUUAGAAUACAUAAAUCAAAAAAUUAGUAAGUUGGCUACUUGGGUUAAUUUAUUGGUUUGACACAACAUAUCCUAUAGUAAUUCAAUGGGAUUAGAACAUCCCAACUCCUAGUUGAUUUAAUUGCUAGGUUAUCUAAGUCCACGCUUGCAAUUAUUGCUUAAAGCAUUUGUUUAAUAAAAUCUUAAAUUCCAAUGGAGGUGCUUUUUCAUAAUAUGAGGUAACCUAAGAAAAAGGAAAAAGUUGAACAUAUUGUUAAGUUAAAAUUGAACAAAUUAAGGCAAAGUGUACAAAUGGAGUGUCAUCAUUCAAAUCGGUCCUUCUCUUAAUUGUCAUAAGCCAAUUAGGUAAGCCAGAUUCUUUUAAUAAAAAGUAAAGAUUUCAUGGCAUCCCUAAAGCAUUGCAAAUUUUUUGUAAGCAUUAAAAUGGCAUUAGUUGGUACAAUACUGGUAUUGAUCUGUAUAUAUUGCUUCGGUUUUGAUCAGUACCAAAUAGUUUAUAUUUCGUUCAAUCAAAAUUUUGUUAUGUUUGAUUAUUUCGGUGUGUUUCGACCUAUUUUGGUCAAUAUCGGCUUGUACUAGCUAGUAUAAAAUUUGAUAUUUUAAACUAAAUUUUAAAAUUUUUUAAUCUUAAUUAUUUUAAUUUUGGCUAAAGGGUCUUCAAAGCCCUUGAACAUUAAAAUUUCAAUCAAUUAAGCCCAUCACACAUUAAAGUUAACGAUCAACCAUGAAAGAGCAACAAUAGCCAUUAUGAGCAAUUGUUUUCACCACGUGGCAUGUUAGACUGUACCACGUGACGAAAUAUGGUGUUUUAAAUUUAAAACCAUUAAAACUAUAGAAAAUCAUAAAAUAUUAAAAAAUUACAAAAGUUAUAAAAUUAUAUAAAAAUGAACAAAAUUAUAAAAAGUAGUAUAAAUGAUACAAAAAUUAUAUAAAUUAUUAAAAAAUUGCAAAAAGAAAACAUUAAAAAUAAGCUUAAAAUAAGAAUAUAUAAAAAAAUGUAAAAAAAAAAAAUUAGAAACUAAGUUUCGGAUACACAGCUCUGGCUGUAUUUUUCAUAAAUAAAAGCUUGGUUGAGAUUUUAGAUUUGGUAUAAAUACAAUAAAUAUAAUAUUUAUAGUAGUAAACAAGUGAAUGAAAUUAAGUAAUUGUGAUUGAGAUUCACCAUGAUUAUAUUUAUAGGAAUAAAAUAUUCCUAUAUAUAAUGAAAGUGUAAUUGAAUAAUAAAAUUCAUAUUAAUACAAGUUGCUUUAAAACAAAAGUAAAUAAUUUGAUAUUGAUCUUGUGAAACAAUUGAAUUUUGGUUUUGUUAUGGGAUUAAAUUAGCAAUUAAUCCUUUUUAAGAAUUUAGAGAACGAAUUAGAUAAGUUAGACAUAAAAGUAGAAGAGUAAAAAGAAAGGAAGUAGUGGGUAGAUUAACAUAAUUAGGAGUUUAAAUGAUAUGAUAAUAAUUAAAGCUUUAAUUUAGUUAAGGUAAUUAGAAAUGUUUGAUCAUAUUUUAGAUGUUAAUUGAAAUUAAACGAGUUAAUAGGUCGAAUACAAGUUUAUAUUUUAGUUAAGAUAAUUAAGAGUUUAACUAGAAUUAAAAAAAAAUAAGAAGCACAUUGAAUCGUCGAUGAAUUGAUUUGAUUCUAAAUCCAAACUCAAGAGAGUAGGAACAUAAUCCAUUGGAAACAACACUUUUAAGUUGUUUAAAUUUUUGAGAAAGAAAAACACUUUCAACCUUUUUUUUAAUCCCCACUCUAUCCACCAACCUACUCGUUGCUUUAUAAGUCAAAAUCGGGAAAUUAAAUAUUACACUAUUACUAAUUCGGUUAAAUUGGUUAAUUCGGUCAAAUGAAUAUUAUCGAUUUUUUGAUAUGUUUUUUUACUUGUUUUAACCAAAAAAAUAAAACAUAUAAAUUUCGGUUAAUUUGAUUAACCGGCCGAAUUAAUCGAAAUAUUUCGAUUUGGUUAAUGGUUAAAGAUACUAAUUCGAUUCGGUUAACUGAUCGGUUAAUUGUUUGAGCACCCCUAAAAAUAAGUCAUGGGACCAACAUACUGACUUCCAUACAAUUGUUAGGUAUAUAUAGCAACUCAUAAGUAUGAGUAGAAUUAGUACGCAGUACCUUAGAUUCAUUGAGCCACAUUUCAAAGUUUCCCAUGAUCUCUUUUGCUGUCAAUGAUAUAAUAAACUUUUUGUAUUCACAAUUAUGUUCACAAUAUAAAACAUAAUUGGUCGACUUGAAUACAAUUAAAUGAGACACUCUAAUGUUCUUUCCUUUUCCUCAAAUCUCUCUAUUUCAAUUCAACUACUCUCUAGAUAUGUCCCGUUAGAUUGAAUCAUACAUGAUCAUCGAUAGCCUACUAAAAUAGCUAAUAUUGAUGUAAAACUUCAAGAAACAGUUAAAGGUCAUGAGGGUACUUAGUAUAGAUCUUCAGUUGAUCUCAUGGGUUUCACACAACAUAGAAGCAGAGAUCAAAUCUUCUAUUACCCAUUUUGUUCGUAUAAUACACAUGUAGUAUGAAACACAUGCUAUGGUAUUACUCUCACUUUCCUUGAAGUGUAUGUCUUUAUCAAAAAAUCAAUACCACAUAGGUGAUAAUUCAAAUACACUUAGUAUCUAACUCGAGUCCACAACUUUAUUUUCUUAAUAGAUUCAACAACAAGACUUUCACCUGGAAUAAAAGACAUAUAAAGUGAAAAAUUCAUAUUUAAAUUAUCAAACAUAAAUCAAAUUGAUUAUAAUUAUAUCAUUUUGCAUAUAGCUCAUGUCGUGCAAGUGCACACUUUAGCCCCAACAAGUUUGGACCUAUGCCCUUCAUGCAUGCAAGGCAAGAUUCCAAACAUAAUCAUUCAAUCAUCAUUUAUGUGGGUUCUCAUAUAUAUACACAUCUCACACUUGGUAUUUAACCAAUGUGGGAUCUAAGCUUUUCUUUUCCUCAACAAAUAUUCACAAGUAGCUUACUUUGAGCACCAAUUUCUCAUUCAUCACUCAACCAUUUUGAGCAUAUGAUAUACUGUUGUAAAGGUCUCAUGGAGUAGAAUAUAAAAUCAUAAUUUUAUGAUUCAACUCUCAACAUUUACCAAUUAAAAAUAUGCCUCAAAGUUCCCAUAAAUUACAAAUUUUCCAACAACUUUUGAAUGCAUUAAUCAUUAUCAACAUUAACUCAAGUGAGGACAAGAAUAUAUUAUUCAACUUGCAAUCCUAGAGUUUUGACAUUCCUUUAAAAAAUCUCUAGGAAUCGGUUUUGUAAACUGAUUUGCAAUCCUCUUAUGCAUAGACUUUCUCUCUUGUUGUGAGAUUUACCUUCACACUUAUUUUUUCCAAUAUACUAACUUUAGAUAUUUGGAGUUUGGAGUUGGUCAAACAGAUGUAAAAGCUACCUUUUCCAAAUGAAAAUCUGGAAUUUACACAGACAAAGUAGAUUUCAUUGACAAAGGUGAAAUGCAUAGUCUGGGCAAGUUAUGAAGAUCAAUUUUAUGAUCUUAAGCGAUUUUCCAGAUAGUGAUAUGCUAUUUUUUUUAAUUAAGAAACUGUUUAGUUUGAUUUAAUCAUAAUUGAUAAAGACCACUUUACUCAUGUUAAAAGAAGGAAAGAAAAUUUUGUAACUAUGUCAUUUUAUGUGGGUGACAUGUUGUUGGCCGCAAAUGAAUUAGUGCUUAUCAUUAUGGGUUAUGCAAGACUACAUGUCAAUUCAUACGAAUGUGUCCUUUUUUCAAUGUUGUGAGUAGCAUCAUAUAUGUUAUGAUGUACAUAAAGCAAAGUAUCUCUUGUAUAGUUGGAUUCAAGACACUCCAAUCCAAACUCAUUGCAAAACAAUGAAAAUGAUAUUGAGGUAUUGAAAAGACACUAUGGAUUUUCACCAUGCUAUCUAAUUGUGAAUACAAAUACCUAUUAAUUAAAAGGAGAUUUAGAUGAAAUAUUGAAAUCUAUCUCCACACAUGUGUUCGUAUUUGAUAAUGGAGUGAACUCUUAAAGUAGUAAGAAAUAAACUUGUAUAGCAUGGUCUAUUAUUGAUGCUGAAAUUGGCAUUUUUAGCGAUGGUUCAAGAGAGUGUUUGGGUUAAAAUAAUCACGAUUAAUAUAGUUACGUUAAAGCAAAAUAUCUUCUAUAGUUGGAUUCAACAUAGUCCAAUCCAAACUUAUUGCAAAACAAUGAAAAUGAUUUUGAGGUCUUUUAUUGUUCUCUCUUGUAUAGUUUGCAUCUCAAGGCACUUUCUUGUUGAUUACGAUGAACAAAAAACGGUUGCAAGCUCUGGGACGAGCAAGAUCAAUAUCUUUAGAGAUCAAAUGAUGGUUAGUAUACAAAUUUAAAAACUAGUUUUUAUAAUUUCAUUUUCAUAUAGUUUUUAUUUAUUUUUUAUUAUAAAUUUUAUGCUUUUUAUAAUAUUUUAUAUGUUUUAGUAUUUUUACAAUAUUUUAAUAACUUUCUAUCUUUUUAAAUAUUUAUUACCAUUUUUAUUUUUAAUUCAAAUAAUUUAUUUUUUUCCAAUUUUCUAUAUUUUAUAAUAUUUUUAAUAAUAUUUUAUAUAUUUAAAUAUUUUUUCAUAAUUUUAAUUUUUUUAAAUUUUUCAUAAUUUAUAUGUUUUUUUAAUUUUUAUUUUAGUACUUUUUAAUGCUUUUCACAAUUUUUAAUAAUUUUUAUAAUUUAUAUUUUUUUUUCGUUUAUAAUCAUUUUUAUAAUUUAUAUAUAUAUCUGCAAUUUUAUAUAUUUUAUAAUUUUUGCAAUUUUUAUAUUUUAUAAAAUAAUUUUGUAAUACUCCAAACUCGGCCUUAACGUUAUGACCAAAUCUAGAGAUGCUAUGAAGAUACAUUAAAAAAAAUCUAGAAUCUGUUGAUUUUAUAAAAUGAUACUUGCCCUUAUUUAGUAAAAUCUGAGUUUAUUUGAGAAAUUUAUCGUUUUGAUGGGUUUGUCAAUUAUUUACUCAUAAAACUAGUCGAAUCCAAUUUGAAAACACGAUUUUUUUUGUUGUUGUAAAAUCCAUUAUUCAACAAUUCAAUUUUCAACCCACCAACGAGGAAAUCACACAGGACUUCCUGCUAACCUACCAUCUUUUUUCAAGAGUUCAAACCCAAUCCAACACCACCAACUCGACAGCACAUUAAGGGCUAACAAAAAUAAAUUAGAGACUCAAACGAUAAAUUAACAUCUUAUCGUUGAACUAGUAAACUCAUUCUAUCACAAAUUGAUCAAAAAUAGUAUUUAAGUGGUAAGGAACAAGAUAAGGAUAAAAGACAAAAAUAAUAAAAUUUCUUAAAAAUGAGAUUUGAACCCUAAUCAGUAAAACAAAUACUUAUUCAUGACAUAAAUUAACAAAUUAAAAAUUCAUAUUUUUGGGUCUUAAAAGUUUUUAAUAAAUUAUAAUUACUUGAUUCCAGUUUCUUUAUUAUGCCCAAAUUUAAGAUUAAGCCCUAUAUUUUAAUUUUGACAUAAUUUGAUUUAUUUAUUUUUAUAAUGUCAUUAGUUAUCUUAAAUCGCUAACAUUAUUAGCUAUGCCAAGUAAAAUAACAUCGCGUAUUUUUUUUCUUAAAAUCAUCACUUCUAACUAAAUAAUGGCUUAAUCACUUUUUUAACUAAUUAUACUAACAUAGAUUUUUUUUAGUUGGAACGAGUAUGUUUAAGGAAAAAUCACCUCAACACUUUACUUGAAAUUAGUAAUCACAUUAAUUAUUUGGACUAACUAAAUCAUUACUGAAUCACCUUCUAACUAAUUAUAGUAAUGUAUAUAUUUAAGAAAAAGCUCACUUUAAUGUUUUAACUGAAAUUAUUAACCGUGUUAAUUACUUAAACUAACUAAUGAAAAAUAUUUCAAAUUAAUUUAUACUGAAUAACUCUCAAAUCCAAGUAUAAUAAAAUAAUAUGACUAACUCAAACUUGGCGUUGAAUUGAGUUUGGGAGUAAAAUAAUCACAUCACUCAUUGGCAAAGCAUGACUGUGAUUAUGAUAUGGUUUUUCGAAGUAUAACUAUGGUGGAGUUGAUAGCAUUGAUUAGAAUACCUUUAUAAAUGAAUAUAUAACAUUUAAUCAUGUAUAUAUUUUUAAUAAUUUAAUAACUUAAAAAAACACCACACUUUAUUAUAUAUGUAAAAUGUAAAUAGAAGCUACAUUCUUAUUUCAUGAAAUAACAUCAUAGAGAAUGUGAUGGCAGAGUUCAUUCUCAGUAAUAUAUGUGAUACUAAUUAGGAAUCAAACUGUCUUCAAUGGCUGGAUGGAGGUGGAGGUGGAGGUGGAGACAUGAAAGGAAUGGAAGGCAAGCUGCUACUGGGAAGUGGUGGAAGAACAGUGAUAGGCUUAGGCUAAGAUGGUGGGAUUGUUGGUAGCUUCGGGAUUCAAGGCAAUGGAGGUAUGCAGGGUUGAGCUGAGAAUGAUGGUAGAUCUAGGAUUGAAGGCAAUGGAAGUAUGUUGGGCAACUUACGAAGUGGUGGUAGUUCUAAGUUCUGGGAUUGAAGGAAAUGGUGGUGGUUCUGGGAUUAAAGGAAGUGGUGACAUCGGAGGUGGCAAUGGUACCGGUAAAUAUGCAGAUGGCAAUGGUACUGGUAAAAAUGGAGGUGGCAAUGGUAUUGGCGACAAUGGAGGUAGCAAUGGUACUGGUGACAAUGGUAUUGGCGACAAUGGAGGUGGCAAUGGUAUUGGUGGAAAUGGAGGUGGCACUUGCUGAAGAUUUCGGGUUGCUAGGCUAACCUCCAUGCUUGAAAAACCCAAGGAAAUGAAGCAGGCUAAUAAAAUGAAAACGUUGGAAGCUGCCAUUUUUUUUUGGAGAGAUGAACUAAAGAUUGAAGAUUUGAGUUGAGGAAAGCAGGAUUGGUUUCGGGUAUUUAUAGCCACAUUUGAAGGAGUUUUUUAAUUAUUUGUUUGAGAUAUUACUCCCCUACUUAGCUUACUACCUUC
rnacentral:lncRNA from 1 species